ACAGCCAGGAUGUUGGCUUAGAAGCAGCCAUCAUUUAAAGAAAGCGUAAUAGCUCACUGGUCGAGUCGGCCUGCGCGGAAGAUUUAACGGGGCUAAGCUAUACACCGAAGCUGCGGCAAUGUGAAUUCGUUCACAUUGGGUAGGGGAGCGUUCUGUAAGCCGUUGAAGGUGCAUUGUAAAGUGUGCUGGAGGUAUCAGAAGUGCGAAUGCUGACAUGAGUAACGAUAAAGGGAGUGAAAAACUCCCUCGCCGGAAGAUCAAGGGUUCCUGUCCAACGUUAAUCGGGGCAGGGUAAGUCGACCCCUAAGGCGAGGCCGAAAGGCGUAGUCGAUGGGAAACGGGUUAAUAUUCCCGUACUUCUUAUAAUUGCGAUGGAGGGACGGAGAAGGCUAGGUGAGCCUGGCGACGGUUGUCCAGGUCCAAGUAUGUAGGCUGAUGGUUUAGGCAAAUCCGGACCAUCUUAAGGCUGAGAUACGAUGUCGAGCUACUACGGUAGUGAAGUCAUUGAUGCCAUGCUUCCGGGAAAAGCUUCUAAGCUUCAGAUUAUAAGAAAUCGUACCCCAAACCGACACAGGUGAUCAGG
rnacentral:rRNA from 1 species